rnacentral:tRNA from 1 species
GCCUGGGUGGCUCAGUCCGUUAAGCGUCUGACUUGUGCUCAGGUUAUGAUCUCAUGGUUUGUGGGUUCGAGCCCCACGUCAGGUU